AUGGAUCUGCACAGGUUCAAGUGAUAUGGAGUCCUAGCACUGAGAGGUGGAGAUGGACAUGAACUCCUAACACUUAACUACUUACAAAAGAAACAUGAGUUUUCUCCGAUUGAGUCUUACGGGGUAUAUUAACUGCACUUCAGGGUUAACACUUGACUCAAGAAUUAAUACCGUGCAAUAACUGGAAGCAAUUACCCUGAGCUCCUGUCUGAGGUGUCUCCUUCAGAAACCCCCUAUCUCAUCCACUCUCCUCCAGCCUCUUUUAAAGACAUGAUAUAUAUUUUAACCAAAACCUUAUUUAGAGAAUGAAUGGAUAUGCACACUUCGAAAGAAUCGUCAUGCAACAAAAUGAUGUCAUUUUGGAGAAAAAUGUUCUGGAGAGAUGGGCGUCUGUGUUCUCAGUUUUCUCUAUGCACACAUACUGUACAGACAUUUCUUCAGUAAAAUGUCCAGACAAACUGAAUCUUCAACACCCAAAGUUGUUUCUUACAUUUCUAGUUGUUGGCUCCCUCCCUCCUGCCUCAGUCAGCUAGCAGCAUCAGAGCUGACAGAGCUGACAGCCUGAGACUGUCAGCUCACACCUGCUGGACCUAAAACAAUGGCCCACUACACUGAGCUUUGCCUUGGAGGAUUUCGGAAGAAGCUACACCUGGUUGCUGACACACCCACUGCCUGAGGACAGUGCUGAAUGUAAACAAACUAGACUGACUGAGAACUGAAUCUGCAGAGACCUUGACAUCUCCACAUCAGAGAACUGUGUUUACGUUAUAGAUAUACUUUGUGCCUAGAGAUUUUCGGUUUCAUUUUGUGCCUGCCUAUAAAAGCUCAAAACACCCCCAAGUAAAUUGAUGCCUUGAUAGAACUCUA